AACUGGCCACAGCCAAGAGUUUGCAUCCCCUGCCGAACGACUGGUAACUAAAGGGACAUAUCUCACUUGACAAAUAUUAUUUAAACCAGCAAGCAAGCACUCUAAAAUAUACAAACCAAAAUAAAGCAAUAAAAUCUUUGAUAAGUAAUAAACAUUUAUAAACUUGAUUGCAUUGUUGGGCACACCUGUCAGCUAGGGUAAUUAAUAUAUUCUAAUAUAUUCUGCAGCUCAAAUGAACUUACAAUCUAUGGUAGGUGGGCAUAUAUUGUUACAUGUCUUUCCUAAAGACACUUAUUGGUACGUUAGUGUGCUCAUGCAUGUCUAUCUAAAUAACCUUUUUGCAUUAUCAUGGUCAGACCAUUUUGUCACUAAUUACAGGUUCGGGUGUUUCAGCCUCACCGGUUAUCCAUCAUUUAGCCAUGAAAUCUCAAUAGAAAGACACUAGCAUUACCAUGGCUACUGCAGAGCGUAGUGACUUUAAACUUGGCCCAGUCAUUGGAUUCGAAGUUAGUUUGUGAAAUUUCUGCCCUCAUAGAUCUGUCCCAGUAAAGAGUAAGUGCUAAUUUUGUGAAAUGAUAGCAUGUAGGAGCAACAACAGCCCAGCCACAUAGUCGUAGACCACUACAGAGUCCCAACUGCCUCUGGAAACAACAUCAGUACAAGGACUGUGUGUCAGGCACUUAAUGAAAUAUGUUUCCAAACAAGCCUAACAUCAACAUGAUUUGGAGUAAAGUGUAAGUUGCUCACCUCUACAAUAAAAGAAAAGCCCUGAACCACCACGACCACUGGAAAGAUCUUCACGUAAUAAAAAGACCAGUUUCAUACAACUUCAUGGAAACAGCGCUAUAAAUAUCAAUGUUCUCUACUAAAGUCAGAGAGUUAGCUCUGACCCCUUCUAACAAAUGAGACAUCAAGGGAGACCUCCUUGUAAUGUCUGCUUGUACUGGGCAACGUCAGACCUGUGGGGAGUGGGAGCAUGGACAGACCACCGGUGACGGGGGGGCGGGGAAGAUAGAGAAUUGUAAAUGAGAGGAUCCAGUAGUACAGACUGUCUGAAAGAGGGUGGGCUCUUGUAUUUACAUGUAUUUUGAAUUUGUCCAAUAGCUAGAAGCAGGAGUACUUAUUAUUAACGCUGCCAUAGUUUGAUCAGGAAAGUCAGAUCCAAUCUGACGACAUGUCUCCACUUUGCCAAUUAAAG